AUGUGCAGACGUGACCGAAAAAUCACAUCAAAUCAAAUCAAAAUAGCUCGGAUGCCCGUGAACCAGCCGGGUCUGCGGGCUCGGAACCUCUGGUCUGAGGCCACGAAGCCUCCAGCCACGGCAUCUGAAACACCACCCAACCAGGCCUCAGGGCCGGAGGUCACAGUCCCCUCCUGGAAGCCCCUCUCGCCCUCUGACAGUUCUCGGGGCCCUUCAGAGAGUAGCUUUUCCCCAGCAUUGGGGAUGUGCCUCACUCUCACCCAGCGGCCGCUAGAAAGGGGUUCCGGGCUCUCCCUGGGGUCUGAGUGGUCCCAGGAGGGCUCUGAGGUGGCUUUGGGAAUUUCUCAGGCUGGAGGAGCCACCCACCCUGACCCCCAGCAAACUCCAGGAUGCUGGGCAGUGUGGCCAAGCUGCCAGGCCGCUCACUGGAGGCCACUGGGACGUGGGGUGAGUCUCUCCAAGGCCCCCCCGGAGGCCCGGAGCCCCAUACAGGGGGCCAAGCAGAGAGAGAGGAUGUCCUUCCCAGCAGGUGGGAGGACUGUGAGGACAGGUGGGGGCCCUAGAACCGCCAGCAGCUGGUCAGAGGCCCCAUCUGGCAAAGGCCACAGGAACACGGGCGGGGUGGGCCCUGGAGUGGGGCGAUGUGAAAGGGGUGCUGGGAAGUCCGGCUGGGGCAGGCGGAGAAGGGGAGAUGCCCCGACAGCCCCGGCUGAAGGAAGGGCCAGGCCUCGGUGGGAAGAGGGGUGGCGGGGCAGCCGGGGGCUCUGGGAGGAGGAGACCCAUGCCCAGCAGCCACGCUGUAGGGCUCGGGGUGGGUGGGACGCCACCAGAGCUGCCGCUGGGAGGAGGAAGUUGUUGGAAAAUCAGACCGGAAUGGCCCGAGGGAAGGCCGGGCAGGCCAGGGCCCCAGAUGGUUCCUGUCGGGAAGUCGCGGGCACAGCUGCAGGCCUCGGGCCGGCAUUAUCACGGGGACACAGCUGGCUGCCUCGCCCACAGGCUGCAGGGAGACCUUCCCCCGCCUGCAGCCCCAGGCCCGCCCCGAGUCACAUGAGCCCCGGGGCUCCCACCCCCUCCCCAGGGCCGAGGACACCCAGUCCGCAGCCAGCAGGCCCCGGCUUUCCAGGGACAGAGGCCCAACUCCAGGUCAUCCCAGCUGGCCCAGCCCCUCCUCUUUCCCUUGAGGCCCCAGGAGGUCGGGAAAGGCAGUCCCGGAAGAGGUCUGUCCUGGGUCCCAGGCCGGCCUCUGAGGGUGGCCCUCCCCAUGCCGGCUCCGAGACUGAGGGACAGGUUGGCUGGUUCAGCCUCGGGGUCCACCUGCCGCUCCAUGUCCCAGACGCACCCCAUGCUGGAGAGCGGCCUCCCAGUGUCUGCCGGCUGCUCAGCUCCCGGGGGUCCCAGGAAGGGCGGCCCAGCCCCAGUUGACAGGAAGGCUAAGGCCUCAGCGAUGCCGGACUCCCCAGCGGAGGUGAAGACCCAGCCUCGGUCCACACCCCCCAGCAUGCCACCCCCACCGCCUGCCACGUCCCAGGGAGCCACACGCCCCCCCUCCUUCACGCCACACACACGUGAGUAGCCCCCAGCCGAUGGCCGAGGGCCAGGUGCUUCAGGGGAGCCCCUCGUGUUGUUUGAAAUCCUGAGCUUCCUGCCGUGAGCCGCUGAGCACCUGCUGUAAGCCCUGAGCGUGAGGAGCUCAUGAGGCGUGGCCCAGAGCCCAAGCUUUGCAGUUCAAAUCCCAGCUUCCCUGCUUCCCGCUGUGCAGCCCCCCAGCCCACUCCUCAGCCUCUCGGGACCCCGGCUCCCUCGUCUGCAGUGGGGGACCUCCCGGGGCUGUGGUGGGGCCAAGUGAGUCCACACAGGCCUUGCACCAGGGCCGGCCACUGUGCCUCAGGCUUUCUGCCUUGCUUGGCAGGCCCCGGGAUACCAGGCUCCAUCUAGAGGAAACGUGGGACUUGGACGGGGCCAGGGGCUCUCCCAAGAUCACACGGCAGCUCAUCCGUGCACAGGACCCGAGGAGGAGCUGCAGAGGCAGCUCUGGCCCUGGAGGGGCUCAGAUCCCAGGAGCUCCGCAGCCCGGCUGAUCACGGGGCCCGGGUGGGGGCCUCGGAACGCUCUCAGGCCCUGGGCAAGGGGUUGGCCAGGCUUGGUGCAGAGCCGCUGAGCGUGGGCCGUGGGGCGCUAUGGGGAGGGAGCAGCCAGUUCUCGUCACAGUCACCGCCGCAGCCUUGGCUUUAAGGACAGAUGUCAGUUCCCAGUCGCUGGGCUAGUCGCUGGGCAGGUGGGGUGGGCAGCGUCCCUGCCGCCCAAGGCUGGGGCUCAGGAGCGUGUGUCAGUGUCUCCAGGGGUGGAGACUGUGAGCCGCAGUGGACAGGAGGCUAAGGCACAAAGCCCCUCUCUGGGGAGGAGCCUCAGACUUUUGUCCUGC
rnacentral:lncRNA from 13 species